UACAGUAAUAAUUUACCUUAUGACAGGAUUUUUUUUUAUCAACAAGAAUUAGAAAUUUACAAUGAGAAGAAUUAACCAAGGAGGCUCCGAUACUGAAAACGAAAAAAGGAAAAGUCGCGAGUCGGUAUUCAUAAAUUUUCUUAUAUUUGGGUCAUUUGUAGCGGUGAUAAGAACAAUGCCACUGGUGAUCCAACUGUAUAAGAAUGUGUAUCAAUAGUUCAAUAUGUAGCAUUAUGGACUCUAUUGUGAUACUUUCAUAUAAUUUACACAAUUUUGGUCAUAUAUUAGAAUUAUUUAAAUUUCAAUAAAAAGUCACAAAAUA